rnacentral:rRNA from 1 species
CCUACGGGCGGCAGCAGUGAGGAAUAUUGGUCAAUGGACGGAAGUCUGAACCAGCCAUGCCGCGUGCAGGAAGACGGCUCUAUGAGUUGUAAACUGCUUUUGUACAAGGGUAAACCUGAAUACGUGUAUUCAGCUGAAAGUACUGUACGAAUAAGGAUCGGCUAACUCCGUGCCAGCAGCCGCGGUAAUACGGAGGAUCCAAGCGUUAUCCGGAUUUAUUGGGUUUAAAGGGUGCGUAGGCGGAUUGAUAAGUUAGAGGUGAAAUGUCCGAGCUUAACUCGGGAACUGCCUCUAAUACGGUUGAUCUAGAGAGUAGAUGCGGUAGGCGGAAUGUAUGGUGUAGCGGUGAAAGGCUUAGAGAUCAUACAGAACACCGAUUGCGAAGGCAGCUUACCAAUCUAUAUCUGACGUUGAGGCACGAAAGCGUGGGGAGCAAACAGGAUUAGAUACCCUGGUAGUC